rnacentral:rRNA from 1 species
GUACACGCUGUGACUAGCAUAUCAAUAAGCGGAGGAAAAGAAACUAACAAGGAUUCCCCUAGUAACGGCGAGUGAAGCGGGAAGAGCUCAAAUUUGAAAUCUUCAAGGUUUUACCUUGACGAAUUGUAGUUUAAAGAAGUGUUUUCUGCUGAAGUUUUGGUAAAAGUUCUUUGGAAUAGGACAUCAUAGAGGGUGAGAAUCCCGUAUUUGACCUUUACUUUCAACUUUGUGAUACACUUUCAAAGAGUCGGAUUGUUUGGGAAUGCAGUCCCAAAACUGGGAGGUAAAUUUCAUUCUAAGCUAAAUAUUGGCGAGAGACCGAUAGCGAACAAGUACCGUGAGGGAAAGAUGAAAAGGACUUUGAAAAGAGAGUUAAAUGGUACGUGAAAUUGUCAAAAGGGAAGCGUUUAACACCAGUGUUGUUUUCUGAAAAUCAACCUCUGUUAGCUUUAUGCAUGUUUGUUUAGACCUAAUCAGCUAUCUUGCAUGUUCUAUUGUUUGCAGUGGUGCACUUUUCAGUUUACAGGUCAACAUCAGUUUUUUUUUACCGUAAAAAAGUUAAAGAAAGGUAGCUCAUGGCUCCGGUCGUGAGUGUUAUAGUCUUUUUCCUAUGCGGUAGGAGAGACUGAGGUCUGCAGUGUAGGCUAUUUGGCUAGAUACUCAGGUGCUAUGUGAUACCAUUUCAUAAACAACUUGUUGAUUAUGUUUUGUCUAUUGCAUACUCGCUUGUACUAUCAUACCUACGCUUAGGAUGUUGAACUACUGAGACAUAGA